ACGCUCGACACCUACUGGAGGCAGCAGUGGGGAAUAUUGCACAAUGGGGGAAACCCUGAUGCAGCGACGCCGCGUGGAGGAAGAAGGUCUUCGGAUUGUAAACUCCUGUCCCAGGGGACGAUAAUGACGGUACCCUGGGAGGAAGCACCGGCUAACUACGUACCAGCAGCCGCGGUAAUCUGAGCGGGCUGGCAAGGC
rnacentral:rRNA from 1 species